rnacentral:rRNA from 1 species
UACGAAGGGGGCUAGCGUUGCUCGGAAUCACUGGGCGUAAAGCGCACGUAGGCGGAUGUGUCAGUCAGGGGUGAAAUCCCGGGGCUCAACCUCGGAACUGCCUUUGAUACAGCACGUCUCGAGUCCGGAAGAGGUGGAUGGAAUUCCUAGUGUAGAGGUGAAAUGCGUAGAUAUCUGGAGGAACACCGGUGGCGAAGGCGGCAUCCUGGACCGGCAUUGACGCUGAGGCGCGAAAGCCAGGGGAGCAAACGGG